ensembl:lncRNA
CUCUGUUGUAAACAGGACGUUUACUUUACAUUUAGAUAGAAUGUAAACUCGGGCCCUAGGUACCUGUUUUGCGUCCUUCCCCAUUACAAUAUAUGUGUUGACAGAUCUUCACUUUCUCUUCAUUCAGCUUCCCCCCGGGCUGCUCUGCAGAGGCCUUCAUAUACCUCCCCUGACAAAGUCCCAAUGGGAGGAAGCUGUGCAGUGGGCAGGACUACCUUUUCUGGCUGCCCCUGCCAUCCUUUUAACAUUAACUGUAUAUUAUAGAUGCUGCUCUGUUUUUUCCCCCACGUCCUCCCCUGCCAACUCUGUUUUGUUAAAACAAACACCUUCUGGGCCCUAAACACAUUAAUUCCCUGUGUCUCUCCCCUUUACAGAGUGUCCAACACACUAUUACCACAGAGACCUGUUGUAUAACCAGCUGCCCUACACAGAAAAUACAGCUCAACUAAUGCUAAUAUUAAUGAUCCACUUCCUUGUUCCCAUCUUCCUGCUGUAGACUGAAAUACACAUCACAUGACCGGUUAUGAAUGAGAAGAGGCAAAAGACUAGUUUUCAAAAGAACCAGAAGGCUGUUGAGUCAACCAGCGUAGUCAUGCAAGAGAGUGGUGGAGCUUGGGAGCAGAAUCAAUGAGAUGUUGUGUCCACCACAGUGCAAAUACAUCAUAUGGACUGAAGUAUGUGGACACCUGACCAUCACACCUAUAUGAACUUGUUGGCCAUUCCAUUUCAAAACUAUGGGCAUUUGCAAAAACACCUUUGACCUCACUGUCGUGGGUGUAGCUAUAACAGGGCCUGCAGUGGGUGGGAAGCCUGCGCUUGAC